rnacentral:rRNA from 1 species
GCUAAACAUCUAGCUUAAACACACAAAUCAAUACAACAACAUACAAAAAUUUAACUAAACCAAAACUACAAAAAUAAAACAUUCUCCCGCCCAAGUAUGAGUGACAGAAAAGGCCCCACAAGCUAUAAAACAGUACCGCAAGGGAAAGAUGAAAAAGAAAAUGAAACAAAUCAUUUAAGCCUAAAAAAGCAGAGACUAACCCUCGUACCUUUUGCAUCAUGAUUUAGCCAGCCACCCUGAGCAAAGAGCACUUUAGUUCACCACCCCGAAACUAGGUGAGCUACCCCGAGACAGCCUACUAAAGGGCCAACCCAUCUCUGUGGCAAAAGAGUGGGAAGAUCUCUGGGUAGAGGUGACAAAUCUACCGAACCUAGUUAUAGCUGGUUGCCUAAGAAAUGAAUAAAAGUUCAGCCUCGCACCCCUCAACUCACAAAAAGCCUAAUACUUAACACAAGAGCCAGAGAAACAUGCGAGAGUUAAUCAGAGGGGGUACAGCCCCUCUGAAAAGGGAUACAACCCUGCCAGGAGGUUAAAGAUUAUAUUAAACAAGACUACUGCCCCAGUGGGCCUAAAAGCAGCCACCUAAACAGAAAGCGUUAAAGCUCAAGCAGACAAAAAUCCAUUAUUAUAAUAACCUUAUCCUAAACCCCUAAUCAUAUUAGGCCACUCUAUGCAAACAUAGAAGUGAUACUGCUAAAAUGAGUAAUAAGAAGGGGCCCCCUUCUCCUGACACAUGUGUAAUCUAGAACGGACUACCCACUAGUUAUUAGCGAACCCACCCAAAGAGGGUAAUAUGACCAUAAUAAUAAUCAAGAAAGCCCCAUAAAAUACCAUCGUUAAUCCCACACUGGCGUGCCCAUAAGGAAAGACUAAAAGAAAAGGAAGGAACUCGGCAAACAUAAGCCUCGCCUGUUUACCAAAAACAUCGCCUCCCGCAAAAAAUAUAUGGGAGGUCUUACCUGCCCAGUGACUACAAGUUAAACGGCCGCGGUAUUUUGACCGUGCAAAGGUAGCGCAAUCACUUGUCUUUUAAAUGAAGACCCGUAUGAAUGGUGAAACGAGGGCUUAACUGUCUCCCUUUUCCAGUCAAUGAAAUUGAUCUGCCCGUGCAGAAGCGGGCCUAAUAAUACAAGACGAGAAGACCCUUUGGAGCUUAAGACAAAAACCAACUAUGUUAAUAAUCAAAAAAUUAUAAACCAAGUAGCUCUGGGCUACGUCUUCGGUUGGGGCGACCACGGGAGAAAACAAAGCUCCCAUGCGGAUGGGGUAUAGACCUAAAGCCAAGAGAGACGCCUCUAAGACACAGAACAUCUGACCAAAUUGAUCCGGCUUAUCUGCCGACCAACGAACCAAGUUACCCUAGGGAUAACAGCGCAAUCCCCUUUAAGAGUCCAUAUCGACAAGGGGGUUU